rnacentral:lncRNA from 1 species
CGGAACCUUCUAACCUUGCGCGACUUUAGAAGCUGGCCCGGCCCGCCAGUGCCUUUGGCUUUAGGAGGUAGCAAACAGGAUGGGGCCGGCAGCGCCGUUCCGGAACCAUAGGGGGCUCCUGGGAAGCUACCAUCGCGAACAAGGCGCGGCUGCGUUGGCCCUUGGCUCCAGCCUGGCAAGCUGAGGUGAAAGCCCUGGAAUAAGAACUGUGAAGAGAGAAGCAGAGCAAUCAUGCUGAUAUCAGAUCUGCCAUUUAUGUGGAUUAGUGUCCUGAAGCCCUUUAGUCAAGACCUUCCUAUCGCCCAUCUCAGAAGCAUAAAAGUGUGACAGGAUUUUCAGUAGGAACACAACCAAGUAUUGAAGUAUGCUCAGAUGGGAUUUGAGUUUCUGAGGCUAUCACUCAUUCCUCCCCGAAUAAGCAGAAGCAAACAGUAGAUGGAGCCUGGAUUUUGCUUGGAUUCAGCUUCCUCAUUGUUCCAGUACGGCUUUUUACCACAUCUUGGUGUCUCAGUUAUGAA